rnacentral:lncRNA from 1 species
CUUGUGUUCUGAUCUUUUCACCAAGUGGAAAACCAUAUUCUUAUGACUCCACAAACAUAAAAAAAUAAUUAAUAAUUUUUUGAAUUGAAAUCACACGAUCGUCGACACGAUCAUGCAGAUGUGGGAAAAUAAAAUGUGUGUGAGGCAUUUGAUGAUCAUCUGUCUCUUUCAUUUGCAAAAUCAAGAACUAAAUGGCCUACAAUAUGAGUAGACUAGUUAAAUCUCAAUUCUACUCUAAUUUUAAUUCUAAGAAUCUCUUGAUUUAUAUGCAUAACUUUCAAAAAAUACAACAUGCUUGUUGGAUUGACUUUGUUCAUUACCAGUUAAUUUGAUAAGGGAUUAGCAUACGCUCAAAGGAACAAGAUUUAUGGUAAUUCCCAGGAUUUUAAACAAAUACCUGAGUAUCCUUGAGACUUUUUAUUAUUAAAAUAAAAAUGAGAACUUUUUGUUUUUAUUGUCUCUUGAAAAUUUUCUAGUGCUAGUUUUCAUUUAGCUCUCAUCAGGCCUCUAAAACAGCUUGGUGGUUGUGAUGGAGAGCUAUUAAAGACUUCGCCCUAUUAAUAGAUUGAUCAUUUACUUGUUAUAGAGUUUUCAUACUUCAAUGUUAUAUGGAUACAACUCUGCAUGAUUGCCAACUUUCACUUUGAAUCUGUUGAUCAACUGUUUGCCCUUGUUCCCUCAUUUAAGCUAUGGACUCUACUAUUAUGGAUAUUUAUUUUUCUUUAAUGACAUUUCAAUAGUUGAGAUUGUUUGGGUGUUGAAGUUGCUUCCAAUUGUUGCUAUUAAUUGAAUUUUAAGUUUGACUAGAUAGGACGAUAAAAGAUAUAAUUAAUUCCUUAAGGAAUCUUCUACAUAUGUUCAUACUAACAAAGGACGGGAGGAAACCAUAAUUGUUUUUUAAAUUGUUUCCUUCGACGAUGAAAAUUGUUUAUGCUCAUUUCUGUACAAAGAGCUAAGAUAUGACUAUUGUUGUUAGUUUAACUUACAUUGUGAAAAACUGCAGAUUAAACAGAGCAAGCUGAGAGUUCCCCUCGAGAAUGUCUUGGUUGAACUAGCAAAACUUAGAAGGGCAUCAUAUAUUGAUCAAGAAGAGCAUUCUAUGGUAAUGCCUGCAUUUUAGUUUUGUCUGCCAGAAGAUGAUUUUUUUAAGUUAGUUUACUUAAAGUCGUCUUGUACGCUAAAUGUAGGUAUUUGUACAGAGGGUUAUGUGUAUCUCUCUAAAAGUAAUGUCCAACAAUUUAGCAGCCAGCAACUCAUGUUGUUUUUAUUCUAAUAAUAUAGUUGAGCAGCCAACAACUUUGCUUGUGUAGAAAAAUGGAAACAAAGACUUGAAUGAAUGUAGCAUUAUUCUUGUGUUAAUGCAAAAGCUUUCAGUCAAAUGAUUGAAAUAGUUUAGACCCUA